UCGAUAUGCAGCAUCUGCGGUAACGGCGAGGAAGAUGAAUACCAUGCAGUGGUCACAUGUUCAAAGAGCAGAGCACUUCGAGAGGCCAUGAGGAAGGAGUGGGCUUUACCUUCAGAGAAAUCUUUCAGAAACACAGGAGGAGACUGGCUGCAGGUGCUGUUGGAUACUGUACCAGAGGACAUACGUGGAAAAAUUCUGCUGCUGCUAUGGAGAUGUUGGCACCUACGAGAAGACAGCAUACGAAAUGAUGGUAAAGAAUCUAUUUCGGGAUCGGUGCAAUUCCUGAAGAAGUAUGCAGAGGAGCUAAAAAUGGCAACGAUGGCUGGGGAUGUACUCAAUGCAGGUGCAGUUGACCGACCACGCUGUCCCACAAAGCAACAGAUACAGUGGUCGUGUCCUGUACGAGGUACAGUCAAGCUAAACACCGACGCUGCUUUUCAGACAGAGACUGGAGAAUCUACUGCUGGAGCAGUUGCCAGGGACAGCAGAGGCCUUGUGGUGGUGUCGGUUUGCAGAAAUCUGUCCCUCUGCCAGAGCGUGGAGGAAGCCGAGGCAAAAGCUGCACUUGCCGGACUGCAGGCUCUAACGAAAUACUCCCUCCGUUUUAAAUUACUCGUCGCAGAAAUGGAUGUAUCUAGAACUUAA
rnacentral:rRNA from 1 species